GUGUUUGUAGUCCAAUGGUUAGGAUAAUUUCCUUUUAAACAAUAGACCCGUGUUCGACUCCCUGCAGACGCA
rnacentral:tRNA from 1 species